rnacentral:rRNA from 2 species
UGGGGAAUAUUGCGCAAUGGCCGCAAGGCUGACGCAGCGACGCCGCGUGUGGGAUGACGGUCUUCGGAUUGUAAACCACUGUCAGGGGGAACGAAUGCGGGACGUCGAAUAGGCGAUCUCGAGUGACGGUACCUCCAAAGGAAGCACCGGCUAACUCCGUGCCAGCAGCCGCGGUAAUACGGAGGGUGCGAGCGUUGUCCGGAAUCACUGGGCGUAAAGGGCGCGUAGGCGGUUCGGUAAGUUGCUGGUGAAAUCCCGGGGCUCAACUCCGGGGCUGCCGGCAAGACUGUCGGACUUGAGCACGGUAGGGGCAGAUGGAAUUCCCGGUGUAGCGGUGGAAUGCGUAGAUAUCGGGAAGAAUACCAGUGGCGAAGGCGUUCUGCUGGGCCGUUGCUGACGCUGAGGCGCGACAGCGUGGGGAGCAAACAGG